CCUACGGGUGGCAGCAGUCGAGAAUCAUUCACAAUGGGGGAAACCCUGAUGGUGCGACGCCGCGUGGGGGAAUGAAGGUCUUCGGAUUGUAAACCCCUGUCAUGUGGGAGAAAAUUAAAAAGAUAGUACCACAAGAGGAAGAGACGGUUAACUCUGUGCCAGCAGCCGCGGUAAUAAGGAGGUCUCAAGCGUUGUUCGGAAUCACUGGGCGUAAAGGGUGCGUAGGCUGUGUCGGAAGCCGUGUGUGAAAGGCGCGGGCUCAACCCGCGGACGGCACAUGAUACUGCGAGACUAGAGUAAUGGAGGGGCAACCGGAAUUCUCGGUGUAGCAGUGAAAUGCGUAGAUAUCGGGAGGAACACUCGUGGCGAAGGCGGGUUCCUGGACAUUAACUGACGCUGAGGCACGAAGGCCAGGGGAGCGAAAGGGAUUAGAUACCCUUGUAGUC
rnacentral:rRNA from 1 species